rnacentral:tRNA from 1 species
UGGGAUGUAGCUCAGCUGGUAGAGUGGCUGUCUCGCAUGCACAAGGCCCUGGGUUCAACCCCCAGCAACAUAA